CAGGACGAACGCUGGCGGCGUGCCUAACACAUGCAAGUCGAACGGAGUUAAUGAUUUCGGUGUUAACUUAGUGGCGAACGGGUGAGUAACGCGUGAACAACCUGACCCAAAGAGGGGGAUAACAUUUGGAAACAGAUGCUAAUACCGCAUAAGACCACAACGUCACAUGGCGAAGGGGUCAAAGGAGCAAUCCGCUUUGGGAGGGUUCGCGUCCCAUUAGGUAGUAGGCGGGGUAACAGCCCACCUAGCCAACGAUGGGUAGCCGAGCUGAGAGGCUGAUCGGCCACACUGGAACUGAGACACGGUCCAGACUCCUACGGGAGGCAGCAGUGGGGAAUAUUGGGCAAUGGGCGCAAGCCUGACCCAAGCAACGCCGCGUGAGGGAAGAAGGUUUUCGGAUUGUAAACCUCUGUCGCAGAAGACGAAGGAAGUGACGGUAUUCUGUGAGGAAGCCCCGGCUAACUACGUGCCAGCAGCUGC
rnacentral:rRNA from 1 species